rnacentral:sRNA from 1 species
AAACUCGGUAGGUAAGGCUACCACAGGGAUACGGAUUGCUACCGUGAAAGAGUGGAGACACUUUUAAUUGGUCAGCAGAAUAUGUCGUUUCAAGGCGUAAUCUAAUGCAAUUUCACCGCCCUGUGAAGCUAAAGCCAGUAUGG